rnacentral:tRNA from 1 species
UUCCAGGUACUUCAGCUGGUAAAGGUCUGCCUGCAAUGCAGGAGACCCUGGUUCAAUUCCAGGGUUGGGAA